rnacentral:rRNA from 1 species
UACGGAGGGUGCAAGCGUUAAUCGGAAUUACUGGGCGUAAAGGGUGCGUAGGUGGUUAGAUAAGUUAUCUGUGAAAUCCCUGGGCUUAACCUGGGCAGGUCAGAUAAGACUGUAUAACUGGAGUAUGGGAGAGGGUAGUGGAAUUUCCGGUGUAGCAGUGAAAUGCGUAGAGAUCGGAAGGAACACCAGUGGCGAAGGCGGCUACCUGGCCUAAUACUGACACUGAGGCACGAAAGCGUGGGGAGCAAACAGG